CAGGAUGAACGCUGGCGGCGUGCUUAACACAUGCAAGUCGAACGGAAAGGCCUGUACUGUACAGGUACUCGAGUGGCGAACGGGUGAGUAACACGUGGGUGAUCUGCCCUGCACUAUGGGAUAAGCUUGGGAAACUGGGGUCUAAUACCAUAUAGGACCACUUCUUGGAUGUUGUGGUGGAAAGCUUUUGCGGUGUGGGAUGAGCCUGCGGCCUAUCAGCUUGUUGGUGGGGUAAUGGCCUACCAAGGCGGCGACGGGUAUCCGGCCUGAGAGGGUGUACGGACACAUUGGGACUGAGAUACGGCCCAGACUCCUACGGGAGGCAGCAGUGGGGAAUAUUGCACAAUGGGCGCAAGCCUGAUGCCAGCGACGCCGCGUGGGGGAUGACGGCCUUCGGGUUGUAAACUCCUUUCGCUAUCGACGAAGCCACCUUUGGUGGUGACGGUAGGUAGAUAAGAAGCACCGGCUAACUACGUGCCAGCAGCCGC
rnacentral:rRNA from 1 species